UUCCGGUUGAUCCUGCCGGACCCCACUGCUAUCGAGGUGGGACUAAGCCAUGCUAGUCGAACGAACAGAACUAUGUCUGUAAGUGGCAUACUGCUCAGUAACACGUAGCUAACCUACCCUUAGGACGUUGAUAACCCCGAGAAAUUGGGGCUAAUAGGCGAUAGGUGUGAUGUCCUGGAAUGGUAUCACGCCCAAAGGUAUCCCAUACAUGUUUGGUAUACGCCUAAGGAUGGGGCUGCGGCCGAUCAGGCAGUUGGUGAGGUAAUGGCUCACCAAACCUUUGACCGGUACGGGCCAUGAGAGUGGUAGCCCGGAGAUGGACACUGAGACAAGGGUCCAGGCCCUACGGGGCGCAGCAGGCGCGAAACCUCCUCAAUGCACUAACGUGCGAAGGGGUUACCUCGAGUGCCACCUGAAGAAGGUGGCUUUUCCUUGGUCUAAAAAGCCUCGGGAAUAAGAGGGGGGCAAGACUGGUGUCAGCCGCCGCGGUAACACCAGCCCCUCGAGUGGUGGGGAUGAUUAUUUGGCCUAAAGCGUCCGUAGCCGGCCGGGUAAGUCUCCCGUUAAAUCCAGCGUCUCAAGCGUUGGACUGCGGGAAAUACUGCCUGGCUAGAGAGUGGGAGAGGUCAGCGGUAUUCUGGGGGUAGGGGCGAAAUCCUUUGAUCCCCGGAGGACCACCAGUGGCGAAGGCUGCUGACUAGAACACGUCUGACGGUCAGGGACGAAAGCUGGGGUAGCGAACCGGAUUAGAUACCCGGGUAGUCCCAGCCGUAAACGAUGCAUGCUAGGUGUUGGGUUGGCCACGAGCCACCCCAGUGCCGCA
rnacentral:rRNA from 1 species